rnacentral:rRNA from 1 species
AUGAACGCUGGCGGCGUGCCUAAUACCUGCAAGUCGAGCGAACAGACGAGGAGCUUGCUCCUCUGACGUUAGCGGCGGACGGGUGAGUAACACGUGGAUAACCUACCUAUAAGACUGGGAUAACUUCGGGAAACCGGAGCUAAUACCGGAUAAUAUAUUGAACCGCAUGGUUCAAUAGUGAAAGACGGUUUUGCUGUCACUUAUAGAUGGAUCCGCGCCGCAUUAGCUAGUUGGUAAGGUAACGGCUUACCAAGGCAACGAUGCGUAGCCGACCUGAGAGGUGGACCGGCCACACGGGAACUGAACCACGGUCCAGACCCCUAGGGGAGGCAGCAGUGGGGAAUCUUCCGCAAAGGGGGAAAGCCGGACGGAGCAACGCCGCGUGAUUGAUGAAGGUCUUGGGAUCGUAAAACUCUGUUAUUAGGGAAGAAAAAAUGUGUAAGUAACUGUGCACGUCUUGACGGUACCUAAUAAGAAAGCCACGGCUAACUACGUG